GCACCAUAAACCAGCCCCACUUCAAUCAGAUUUUGGAUGCCUAUUUCUCCCUUCUUUUGUGUGAGUUUUUAGCAUGUAAGGAGUCACGUUAAACCAGUUUUCCCAUGUGAAAUCUGGGUGCAAAAUCAGAUAGGGUGGGUGGCAUAAAAAUUGGAGAGUCCAAGGGAGUUUGGACUCUUAUCUCUUCACCUAAACCCUAUCCUCUCUUCCAAUGUAAACAUGGGACUUAUGAGGCAUUAGAUGGCUGAUGUGAUCAAGUUUUGAGAUGCCAAAAAUCAGAGGAUAUGUGUGUGGAAAAAUCUUAAGGAGAGGGUGCGGCA
rnacentral:lncRNA from 1 species